GAUGAACGCUCGCGGCAGGCCUAACACAUGCAAGUCGAGGGGUAGAAGGAGCUUGCUCCUUUGAGACCGGCGCACGGGUGCGUAACGCGUAUGCAAUCUACCUUGUACAGGGGUAUAGCCCAGAGAAAUUUGGAUUAAUGCCGCAUAGUCUAUAACCUUCGCAUGUUGGUUAUAUUAAAGUUUCAACGGUACAAGAUGAGCAUGCGUCCCAUUAGUUAGUUGGUAAGGUACCGGCUUACCAAGACGAUGAUGGGUAGGGGUCCGGAGAAGCAGAUCCCCCACACUGGAGCUGCGACACAGACCAGACUCGUACGGGAGGCAGCGGAGAGGAAGAUAAGGCAAUGGACGCAAGACUGAACCAGCCACGCCGCGUGCAGGAACCCUGUGCUAUGGAUGCUAAACUGCUUGGAUACAAGAAGAAACCCUCCCACCCGUGGGGGCUUGACGGUACUGAAAGAAUAAGGACCGGCUAACUCCGUG
rnacentral:rRNA from 1 species